UCCUCCAAGGCUAAAUACUCCUGAUUGACCGAUAGUGAACCAGUACUGUGAAGGAAAGGCGAAAAGAACCCCGGUGAGGGGAGUGAAAUAGAACCUGAAACCUUGUACGUACAAGCAGUGGGAGCCCGAAAGGGUGACUGCGUACCUUUUGUAUAAUGGGUCAGCGACUUAUAUUUUGUAGCGAGGUUAACCGAAUAGGGGAGCCGAAGGGAAACCGAGUCUUAACUGGGCGAAGAGUUGCAAGGUAUAGACCCGAAA
rnacentral:rRNA from 1 species